rnacentral:rRNA from 1 species
UUGUAAUUUGUAGAAGGUGCUUCGGGUGCGGCGACGGUUCAAGUCCUUUGGAACUGGGCGUCUUAGAGGGUGAGAACCCCGUACGUGACCGUCUGCCAACCCCGUGUGAAGCCCUUUCGACGAGUCGAGUUGUUUGGGAAUGCAGCUCUAAAUGGGUGGUAAAUUUCAUCUAAAGCUAAAUACCUGCCAGAGACCGAUAGCGCACAAGUAGAGUGAUCGAAAGAUGAAAAGCACUUUGAAAAGAGAGUCAAACAGUACGUGAAAUUGUUGAAAGGGAAGCGCUUGCAACCAGACUCGCUCGCGGGUGCUCAGCCGUCCCUUGGGGCGGUGCACUCUCCCGCGAUCGGGCCAGCAUCGGUUCUGACGGCCGGACAAAGGCCUUGGGAACGUAGCUCUCUUCGGGGAGUGUUAUAGCCCGGGGUGUAAUGCGGCCCGUCGGGACCGAGGACCGCGCUUUAGCUAGGAUGCUGGCGUAAUGGUUGCCAGCGACCCGUCUUGAAACACGGACCAAGGAGUCGACCAACCGCGCGAGUGUUUGGGCGUAAAACCCAUGCGCGCAAUGAAAGUGAACGGAGGUGGGAGCUUUCGGCGCACCAUCGACCGAUCCUGAUGUAUUCGGAUGGAUUUGAGUAUGAGCGUUGCUGGUCGGACCCGAAAGAUGGUGAACUAUGCGUGAAUAGGGUGAAGCCAGAGGAAACUCUGGUGGAGGCUCGCAGCGGUUCUGACGUGCAAAUCGAUCGUCAAAUUUGCGUAUAGGGGCGAAAGACUAAUCGAACCGUCUAGUAGCUGGUUCCUGUCGAAGUUUCCCUCAGGA